rnacentral:rRNA from 1 species
CAAGUCGAGCGGAGUUAUUCCUUCGGGGAUAACUUAGCGGCGGACGGGUGAGUAACACGUAGGCAACCUGCCUGUAAGAUCGGGAUAACUACCGGAAACGGUAGCUAAGACCGAAUAAUCAGCUUGGUCGCAUGACCGAGCUGGGAAAAGCGGAGCAAUCUGCUACUUACAGAUGGGCCUGCGGCGCAUUAGCUAGUUGGUGGGGUAACGGCUCACCAAGGCGACGAUGCGUAGCCGACCUGAGAGGGUGAACGGCCACACUGGGACUGAGACACGGCCCAGACUCCUACGGGAGGCAGCAGUAGGGAAUCUUCCGCAAUGGACGCAAGUCUGACGGAGCAACGCCGCGUGAGUGAUGAAGGUUUUCGGAUCGUAAAGCUCUGUUGCCAGGGAAGAACGCUUGGGAGAGUAACUGCUCUCAAGGUGACGGUACCUGAGAAGAAAGCCCCGGCUAACUACGUGCCAGCAGCCGCGGUAAUACGUAGGGGGCAAGCGUUGUCCGGAAUUAUUGGGCGUAAAGCGCGCGCAGGCGGCUUUGUAAGUCUGGUGUUUAAACCUAGGGCUCAACCCUGGGUCG